GAUCACUAACCGGAGGAAGAUGGUGUGUAGGGAGGAUUUUGUGCUCUUCCCAGAUUGAAGCAGCAGCUGGAAGGUGCUGUUUGGAACAAGAAGAGCAGUUUUGAUAAACUCUUCAUUUUCACAGUAGCUAUUCUUCCUAAUACUGAGAGUUAAAAGAGGAUGGGAAGAAGAGCACUCUGGACAGCUAAGGAUAACAAGCAACAUUGAAAAGGAAGGCAAACCGAGGCAGAAAUCA